UGCAUGUAUAGAGUCAUUAAAUUUGAAUUUGGAAAGCACAAUAUAUAUUGUUAUCAGCCCUUACAAGCCUUUAUUAUUGGUAUAUUGGAAGCAGGCUUGUUACCCAUCUCUCUGAUUGUGAUUUGCCAAUGGUGUUUUAUCUGUAACUAAUGACUCUAAACUGCUUAAUGGAUGGUUGUGUUGGUCUGGUGAGGUGAGGUGCUGUACUAGUUUCACAUGUCUCAUCCUUCCAAAAUUUCUUUCUUCUCCCUUAAUAAAAUCAUCUACACUGUGAUAUUUAGGGUGCGUUCACACUUGGCAUAUUUUUUUCGAUAAAAAUUAAAUUUGGUUUGGCCACCAAGGUUUGGAUGGCAGCGUUCACAUAUGCUUCUAAACGAACUCUGGUACGGUUUGAAUGGUAUAUGAACAUAGUUUGGACAAAAAACAUGUAAACAAACCAAAAACAGAAAGAUGAGACCCUAUAAAAGGACAGUUCUGGAUGUUCGGUAAGUUCUCGCUCAAAAUAGGCAAUAUGUCAUAAAUGCCAACCAAUCAGAUUGUGAAUGUGUCCGUGUGCCUAGGUUCGGUAUCGUUUCGUUUGGUGAGUGAUAAGUGAAUCAGGACUAAAUGUUUUUUUUUUUGUUGUUGUUGUUUUUUGGUCAGGACCAAACAAACCAAGCAAAACAAACUACAAGUGUGAACACACCAUUAAUGUUCAUCUAUUAAUCGAUCUGGACCAAACGAACCAAGCAAAAGAAAAACUACAAGUGUGAACACACCCUUAAUGUUCAUCUAUUAAUCGAUCUGAGAUUCUGUACUCUUUCAGAAGAUGUAAUAGCGCCCCCUACCAUAUAACAGUGAAAACACCAAUUGCUGGAAAAUUCUGUCACUGGUGGGGAAGGAGUUAAAAUAAUUGGCUUGUUGACAAGAAAUACCUCUGGGUGUGACAUACUGCUGUGAAAAACUCAAAAGACCAUAACUACACAUUUUGUCACAACUGAAUUUUGAUUGAUGGGUUUGGCUUAACUAUGCUCAAUAAUGUCAAUAAUAAUAAAAUCUGAAGACAGUUCCAGUGUUGCUGGUUUCUGCUAUUUAUGGUCAGAUACCCUGUAUCAAAAAUUUUCUAGUGAA